CUGAGUACUACACUCUCUGCCCUUUGUGAACUAUUAUACCUGUUGCUUCGGCGGCGCCCGCAAGGGUGCCCGCCGGUCUCAUCAGAAUCUCUGUUUUCGAACCCGACGAUACUUCUGAGUGUUCUUAGCGAACUGUCA
rnacentral:misc_RNA from 1 species